rnacentral:rRNA from 1 species
GAUGAACGCUGGCGGCGUGCCUAAUACAUGCAAGUCGAGCGAACAGACGAGGAGCUUGCUCCUCUGACGUUAGCGGCGGACGGGUGAGUAACACGUGGAUAACCUACCUGUAAGACUGGGAUAACUUCGGGAAACCGGAGCUAAUACCGGAUAAUAUAUUGAACCGCAUGGUUCAAUAGUGAAAGACGGUUUUGCUGUCACUUAUAGAUGGAUCCGCGCCGCAUUAGCUAGUUGGUAAGGUAACGGCUUACCAAGGCAACGAUGCGUAGCCGACCUGAGAGGGUGAUCGGCCACACGGGAACUGAGACACGGUCCAGACUCCUACGGGAGGCAGCAGUAGGGAAUCUUCCGCAAUGGGCGAAAGCCUGACGGAGCAACGCCGCGUGAGUGAUGAAGGUCUUCGGAUCGUAAAACUCUGUUAUUAGGGAAGAACAAAUGUGUAAGUAACUAUGCACGUCUUGACGGUACCUAAUCAGAAAGCCACGGCUAACUACGUG